UAAACACCGGUUCUUGUCUGAUCACCGAAGUUAAGCAACGCGGAUCCUAGUCAGUACUUAGAUGGGUGACCAUUUAGGAAUGCUAAGUGCUA